CACUUAUUUAUAUGGUUCAUCCACUCCGACUUCUCCGUAGCAGUGGCAGCAUAAACUGCAAAAGACUUAGUAGGCGUCUUGAUGAGCCACCCAUUCCGCAAGUCUCCCUCAUCCUGGAUGGAAUCAAUGGUGACGUUUUCCAACGGGAUUAUGUGCUGCUUAUUGUAUUUCUUCUUCUGGAUGACAAUAUUACCAUAAACAAGAAUGUCAUUGAACAGGAAGAACUGCCUCGCUUUGGGCUUCUUCCUACACAGCUUCGUUAAUACUCCCUCUCCAAUGAGAACACGACCAGGGAUAGUCAAAGGCUGACCAGCUGCUCCAAAGCAGUUUUCCACUAUACUUAUUCUUCUAGUAUUUGCCUCGCUGUUUGCCAAACGAUCCACCAUCUUUCACAAGUAUCCCUGCCCCGCCCGGCACUCCGCGCUCCGGCAGCC
rnacentral:lncRNA from 1 species